AAUGAACGCUGGCGGCAGGCCUAACACAUGCAAGUCGAACGCUCCGCAAGGGGAGUGGCGCACGGGUGAGUAACGCGUGGGAAUAUGCCCUUCGGUUCGGAAUAACACAGGGAAACUUGUGCUAAUACCGGAUACGAUCUACGGAUGAAAGAUUCAUCGCCGAAGGAGUAGCCCGCGUAGGAUUAGCUUGUUGGUGAGGUAAUGGCUCACCAAGGCGACGAUCCUUAGCUGGUCUGAGAGGAUGAUCAGCCACACUGGGACUGAGACACGGCCCAGACUCCUACGGGAGGCAGCAGUGGGGAAUAUUGGACAAUGGGCGAAAGCCUGAUCCAGCCAUGCCGCGUGAGUGAUGAAGGCCUUAGGGUUGUAAAGCUCUUUCGCCGGGGAAGAUAAUGACGGUAUCCGGAGAAGAAGCCCCGGCUAACUUCGUGCCAGCCGCCGCCGUAAGAC
rnacentral:rRNA from 1 species